CACAAGAGUAAGAGAAAGAUCCCUGAUUUAAUCUCGUGAUCAUUUCUUUUAUUACAAUUGUCCGUCUUAAGAACUGCUCUGGAAACACUUGUAGCGUCUCACGAGUCACAUGAUCAACGACCUGCUGUAACUUCUGCUGGAAACAACACAAAAGACGACAGGAAGUGAAAUGCAUCCAAAGYGCCGUCAGGUCGUUUGCUCGAUUUCAUAUCACCUUAGGCCACACAUGCCCUAAUCCCAAAUGGAAUACUUUGACUGGAACGCCGCAGAUUUCCAAGCGAGAAACUGUUUGUGCCGUUCUGGUGUGAUGGACUGGAGUGCUGCAGUGGACAAAAAAACCCAAAUUAUGCAAGUAUUUACUUUUAUAAAACAGCAYUUUGAGAGAAUCUCUGACCUACUUCUUGAAUUGAAAAACAAAAAGGAAGAAGUGCAGAACAUGCAUGUGAGAUGCUGUCAGUGAACGUUAUCAUCACCGUGUAGAACGGCCUCUGUCCUUUAUCAUUUUGUUUUCUGAAGUGAAGAAUCUAAU